rnacentral:rRNA from 1 species
GAUGAACGCUGGCGGCGUGCCUAAUACAUGCAAGUCGAGCGAACAGACGAGGAGCUUGCUCCUCUGACGUUAGCGUCGGACGGGUGAGUAACACGUGGAUAACCUCCCUAUAAGACUGGGAUAACUUCGGGAAACCGGAGCAAAUACCGGAUAAUAUAUUGAACCGCAUGGUUCAAUAGUGAAAGACGGUUUUGCUGUCACUUAUAGAUGGAUCCGCGCCGCAUUAGCUAGUUGGUAAGGUAACGGCUUACCACGGCGACGAUGCGUAGCCGACCUGAGAGGGUGAUCGGCCACACGGGAACGUAGACACGGUCCAGGCUCCUACGGGAGGCAGCAGUAUGGAAUGUGCCGCAAUGGGCGGGAGCCUGACGGAGCGACGCCGCGUGAGUGAUGAAGGUCUUCGGAUCGUAAAACUCUGUUAUUAGGGAAGAACAAAUGUGUAAGUAACUAUGCACGUCUUGACGGUACCUGAUCAGAAAGCCACGGCUAACUACGUG